CUUCAGUGAUGAUACGAUGACGAGUCAGAAGGGAUGUCCUUGUGCCACUGCAGCCUGGGCAGUGCCAUGUUCUGUGGUGCUGUGCUAAGGCUGCCUUGGGCAAGUUAAUCCCACUCAUUGGAUGAUCUAGAGGCAUUUGUCUGAGAAGG
rnacentral:snoRNA from 1 species